AUGGCUGUCGUCAGCUCGACUAAAGAGUUUGUAGAUACCACCCAUAUCCUUCGGGACAUGGGCCGGAGACUCGCUCAAUAGUUCUGAACGUGGCUCGUUCUCUGUUCUGCUGCCGAGGAGCGCUGUGCGCGUCUCGUGUUGCCCGUCGAAAGGCAACCCAAGACGUGGCUGCGCUGCGUUGAAGCGGCCCGUUUGAUUAUGGGAUUUCGGCUGCACUUUGAGAACUGCAUAGCGAUGCACGAGCAUCUUGAUUUAUUGGCCUUGCGGGCACCAGCCUCAUAGGUCUAAUAGAUCUUAUGAUUUGUUGACUUUUACAAGGUUUCGGCCCUGGAUAAGUUAGCGAAUCUACCGUUCGUUCCAAGUCAACACGGCCUCAUCUCAGCUGAGUCUGAGUCCGUGUGGAGCGACGGUUUUGUUUUUUCGAAUCUGAGUAUCGAUAUACCCAAGCUACGAAGAGCCAAUGGUGAAUGCCUUGGCGCCGAACACCGAAGAAGGACGCGACUGGCUGCGAUAAGCCACGGGGAGCCGCCGAGUAGGCCUUGAUCCGUGGAUGUCCGAAUGGGGAAACCCGG
rnacentral:misc_RNA from 1 species